AGACAUUAAUCUUAAGUAUCCAGGGAGCCCUAAAACAUUGUAUCCCACUAGCAAGGACCAUGGUAAUUGCCACGUAAAUCCCCUCCAUUAUGUGGCCCUUAUUAUGACCAGCCAGCCAAGGCUUGCCUUUAAAUCAUACCAAUUGAACCGAGCCUUGUAGAAACACUAUCACCUACGCAUACCUCUGCUUCUUUUCAUUAACCUGCUAUCCUCUUUACAAAUGGGAUUCUUCACCCACUCCCUUCUUCUAGAUUAGCAAUGCCCUGUUAAGUAAACGAACACGAAAUUCAAAGGGAAACAGGAGCAAUCAUCAUUACCAGCUGCCGUGUUAAGCAUUGCGAAAACGCUCACGAUUCACAGAAAAAUCCAUGCUGUUCUUUGAAGGCAUUCAAGCCUUAAUAGCUAGCUGGAUGAAUGUUUAACUUCUAGGCCAGGCACUACUCUGUCCCAACAAUAAGCCCUGUACAUUGGGAAAGGUGCCGAGACAUGAACUUUGGUCUUCUCUGCAAUCCAUCUGGAGCAUUCACUGACAACAUCGACUUUGAAGUUGCACUGACCUGGCCAGCCCUGCCACUUACCAGGUUGGCUCUGUAUGGCUAAGCGUUUUCUCCUAAAAUCCCUUGAAAACUGUGAGAAGACCAUAAGAAGAUCAUAUCUUUAAUUCUAUUUCACAAGUCACACAAUAUUCCAAUCAAAUACAGAUGGUUGAGAAAAGUCAUCCAUCUUCCCUCCCCACCCUCCCACAGCCCCUCAACCACUGCCCUGAAACUUAUAUGCUGUUAUCCGCAGCUCCAUCUGGAGCAUCACAGCUACUGUCAACCCUGACGCUCUUUCUGAAAAAACACCGGAUGGACAUCAGAACUAUUUCUUUAAGGAUGUUACUGAGCCACACAGGAAAACUUGCCUUAUGAUUUUGAAUGCACGGAUCUGAUUUGACUAAACAUGAUAACUAGAGAAUCACCCAAUCUACUCCCAUUUUCAACUCUAAAUCAUCAGAGUGUCUCAAAUCCAAAGCACACACAGACCAGCCUGGCCAACACGGUGAAACUCCACCCCUACUAAAAGUAUAAAAAUUAUCCAGGUGUGGUGGCGGGCGCCUGUAAUCCAAGCUACUUGGGAGUCUGGAGGCAGGAGAAUCCCUUGAACCUGGGAGAUGGAGGUUGCAGUGAGCAGAGAUCACACCACCGCACUCUAGCCUGGGCCACAAAUCAACAACAACAACAACAACAAAAAACAAAGCGCACACAGAGACUGAGGUCCUCUUUGGCAUUGAGAAGAUGGCUAUGCAAGUCCCAACUAGCAAGUGCAAACUUCCCAGCUUCACUUCUGCCAGUGUCCCUUCACCCCUUCUCAACCCCACUGGGAGGCAGGAGGGUGCUUGACAAUAACAGCCUUGGCAUCACUCUGCCAGGGUGUAAUAGGAACUGUUACAAUUCUGAGAUUCUGUAAGUGCUUUGAGAUUUUGGAGUCAGACUGCUUGAACUUGAAUCCUGGCCCUCUCAUCAGAGACUUGACUUAUUUUAGGCAAGUUAUAUAACCAAUUUUACCUCAGUUCCUUACCCAUAAAAUGGGUCUAAUGAGAGUACCUACCACACAGAAUUUUGAUGAAAACUGAAUGAGAUGAAGGCCUUUAAGGCAGUGGUCCCCAACCCUGGGGACACAGACAGGUACCAUUUUGUGGCCUGUUAGGAACUGGGCCACACAGCAGGAGGUGAGCAGUGGGUGAGUGAGAUCAGCGUUAUUUACAGCUGCUCCCCAUUGCUCACCUUACUGCCUGAGCUCCACCUCCUGUCAGAUCAGCAGUGGCAUUAAAUUCUCAUAGCAGCACAAACCCUGUCAUGAACUGCACAUGCGAGGGAUCUAGGUUGUGCGCUCCUUAUGAGAAUCUAAUGCCUAAUGACCUGUCACCGUCUCCCAUCACCCCUAGAUGGGAGUGUCUAGUUGCAGGAAACAAGCUCAGGGCUUCCACUGAUUCUACAUUAUGGUGAGUUGUAUAAUUAUUUCAUUAUAUAAUACAAUGUAAUAAUAAUAGAAACACAGUGCACAACAAAUGUAAUGUGCUUGAAUCAUCCCCAAACCAUCCCAGUCCACGGUCUUCCACAUUUUGUCUUUUCACAAAAUUGUCUUCCACAAAACUGGUCCCUGGUGCCAAAAAGGCUUGGGACCACUGCUUUAAAGCCUUUGCAUAGUGCUUAGAAUUGAGGGGGAAAAAAAAAACAAAAACAAUGUAGCUAGUUGCUACAAUCACUAUAUUGGUGAGUUUCAAAAGGAAAAGAAUUCUGUCCCAUUUAUGCUUGAGCCUUGAGUUGCUAACCAAGCCUGACACAAAAUUACUGUUGAAGGGAUGUGUGAGUCCUAAUUGAAAUGAGGCCUCUUAAGGGAAUUGUGGACCAAACCCCAAGCAGGCAGAAAGCCGUAUCUUAAUUAUUGCAAGUAUUUCAGGCAAGGUGUGGAUGGCCAUUUGAAUUCAAGCAGACUAGGACCUGGGAUGAGAAAGAAGGUGUGUACGUGACUUGAUCUUUGAACUUUAGCUCACCAUCUGGAAGAAGGCUGAGUAUUCUCUGCACUCACAUAGUAGCUAAUGCCUACUCCCCAGCCACCCACAAUUCUUUCUGUAGGAAGGCUCGCUAGAAUACUUUGUGAUAUUGGAUAUUAGUUCCAUAUUCUACUGUGUAUCUUAGUUCAACCAAAUUGUAAUCAUCUGAUAUUUAUUUCUUUUAAUAUAAAUAUAAGUAUAUUAAGUCUUGGCAUGCUUGCUCAGUCUCUCUCUCUCUCCCAUUCCUCCCCGCUCCCCUCUCUCUUUCCCAACAGGCUUGGAAAGCAGGCAUCACCAUGCCUAUUUAACAGUUGGGGUCCCUUGGCCACCAGGUGCUGGAGUAGGAAUCUGAGCCCGGACAUGCCUGAUCUGUAAAUUUUGUGUUUUCCCCACUGUGCUGGGCAGAUCACAGCUAUCAGCGCCAAAUUCAUAGAAGGGGCGCCCCCUGUGGUCAAUUGAGGGAUUUGUGUUUGAGGUAGAUCUCAAGAAGGAAUGGGUGGGGAACUUAGCCUAGGACAGAGCAGAAAGGAGCCCUCACUCCCCAAGCACCAACGGCCUCAGUCCUUCCUGCUGACUCCAGCCUCUAGCUCUCACCCAGACUAUCUGCAUCCUUCUCUCCACCACGCUCCUUUGGAACCUGCGUAAAACACAGAUUAAAGGAAUUCCGCCUUACUUCCCUUUCCGCAUUAUGACCAAAUGGUUUUACACUAUCAUUGAACAGUUUAGUACAAAACAUGCCACCUUUUAAUCUAUUCAUUCAUUUAACAAAUACUUUGGAGUGUUUACCAUGUGCCAAGUGCUGUUCUAAUAGACAUAAGCUGUGAGGUUAUGCUUAUCUGAUUCUCACAGCAACAGCUUUCGAGAUAUGAAUUGGUAUACUCAUUUGACAGAUGAGGAAAUUGAAUUCAUGUAGUGAGAAAGGAAGAGCUGCAAUUCAGGGUUACUGGUUUCUCCUGCACUAAGCACUGAGCCACACUAGAAGAGAAGGCAUGAGGAAGACAAAAGUGAGAAGGCACUCAGGAAAUAUUAGUUGCAUGAACGAAGGCUGCAUUUUCAUUAGAACAACAUGCAGUUCAACCCCUUCAUGUUUCAAUGAGGGUUCAGAUACCCAGAGGGCUAUGCUAUCAUCCUGGAGCCCACUCUGCUAACAAUUAGCAGAACGGAAGCCUUAAUUUCCAGAUUCUAGUGAACUUGAUGAGUCAAGACUAUUGCAAUUGGAAAUCUGUUCUCCUCUGCUGCUGCAUUCCCUGCUUAAUACUCAAGCCAGAAACCAGGAAGGCUGUGGCUUGCCUUUUCACUUCUUGUGUCCUGUUUAAGAAAUAUCUGCUAUCCCAAGCAUCUGGCAUCUUUCUUGACAUAUGUAGCAGUUGCUUUUUGACAGCUUGCUUCUUCAGUGAAUGAAUAAAUUAAUAAAGAGAAAUGUGAUGUUCAGUGAUCCAUUUUGCAGAUAACACUAACAAAGUUGACCUUAGAAUUGGAGUGCCUGGGUUAGAACCCUGCUGGUACCACCUGCUUACUGCAUGCUUCUGAUGUGAGUUCAGGAGAAGACACUGGCAAGGACAGCAAAGAACAGGAGAACACUCUAGCUUCCCUGAUAGCAUUCAAGGUGCUGUCCAAACUGACUGUGAUGGCACCCUCCAGACAGACAGCGAUGCCACAUGUUCAAGAUGGCAGAAUCACUAUCAGCUUCAAUUCCUGAAUGACUGCAGAGCAAAAUUUCUUACCUGCAACAUACACUCUAUUUUCAGCCUCCCUGGACUGUUACAUAAUGAUACAUAAAAAUAUUUCUUGUGUUGAGGCAUCCCAAAUUUGAUUUAUUUGUCAUCACAGUCUAUCCUAUGAAUAUAUUUCUGAUCCAAAUAAUGCUAGAUUCAUGAGAGUUUAUAGUCCAGAGAUUUUUUUUUUUUUUUUGAGACAGAAUCUGUCUCCCAGGCUGGGGUGCAGUGGCAUAAUCUUAGCUCACUGCAACCUCUGCCUCCCGGGCUCAAGUGAUCCUCCCUCCUUAGCCUCCAUGAGUAGCUGGGACCACAGGUGUGCACCACCACACCCCGCUAAUUAUUUUGUAUUUUUUGCAGAGGGGGGUUUCACCACAUUGCCCAAGCUGGUCUCAAACUCCUAGACUUAAGGGAUCUGCCUGCCUUGGCCUCCCAAAAUGCUGAAAUUACACUUGUUAGCCAUAGUAAUAGUUCCUAGCCAUAGUCCGGAGAUAUUUUAAAAACUUUAGUGUGAGUUAUUUCUCUUUGCUAUAAUUCUCUCAUGCAUUUUGAAAACCUUUUCUGCCAUACAGUGGUUUUUGGGAAGUCCUUUUGGACAGACAUAUCACAGGAUGGAGAAACUAAAAAGAGAGAAUGCAUUAAAGAAAAAAUAGUACUUCGUAUUUCAGAAAUUACAAAAGGGUGUCAUGCCCCACAGCAUGGUGGGCAGUCAUUUGUAACCCACAGAACAUUGAGUUUCUAAAAUUUGAGUGUUUUUAACUUACGAAGGCCAACUUUACUGAUGAAGUGAUUACCCCAAAUAUGUGAAAUCCAUAUUUCAAGUACAAUAGUAGGAAAUUGGAAAUGGGCUCUUGAGUUUCUGCUUUCAAGUGACCCUCAGAAAUUCCUCCAUUCACUGCAGAGGUUCUGUUUCUCCUUGCUUUGUUCUGACUUUACGGCAGAACUAAGCUAAUGAGUUAGUUACUAUGGGUUAUCACUUGGAUUUGAAGAACCAUCAUUUCUAGGCAUUGCUGCUCAGAGUGACCUUGCCAUCGUAUCCCCUUUUGGAGACACAAGCCAGGAAGGAAGCUCUUCAGUGCAGCUGUGAAUAGAGAAAUGCUGGCUGAGGUUUUGGAGACACUGGGUGAUCAUUCCCAGUGAAAUUUUUAGAUCCCUGGGGACAUGAGCUGCUUUGUCUUUUCCAAGGCUGAAAAAGUUUUGGAAGCCCUCCUAAGCAGGUGCCAGACCCUUUUUUGGCCAGAGACAGGAUCUUACGCUGUUGCCCAGGCUGGAGUGCAAUAGUGUCAUCAUGGCUCACUGUAGCCUGGAACUGCUGGGCUCAAGGGAUCCUCCCAGCUCAGCCUCCCAAGUAGCUAGGAGUAAAGUUGGAGGAACUGGUUAUUUUCCCAGGGCUUUGACUGAAAUGGCCUUGUGAAUGGUUCCAGGAAAGCCAAUUUUGGAGACCCUAUGUGGAUGAUGAUGCUUGCUGUACUUUCUGUGGGUAAUCGGGCCAAGUAUAUGGGACUGAAGCUAAUUUUGCAGGUGAGAAAAUGGAGGUCCAGAGAGAAAAGUGACUCACCCAAGCUGAAAACAGUUGCAGGAAGAAAAGCCAGGACAGAACUGGGCUGUUAGAAACCUUGGAGUACACUAAAGAUGAGGAACUGAGUCACCGCAAUGCCAAAUGUAACACGCUGUGGGUCAAAAUUUGGAUGGUUGCGUUGGAAAUUAUUCUGAAGCCACAGACAGGGCUAAAAGGAUGAUUCACAAAGUGUUCAUAGCAGGGAAGCUGAUGGAAAAGUGACAUGCCCCUAGACUUGAGAGAUGCUCUCUAAGUUUAAAAAGGAAACAGCUUAUUGUAAAAUUUAUUUGAAUCCUACAACCUUCCCAUAUCUGUGUAAUUAGCAAAAAGACAAGCUGCAACCAGAGAGG
rnacentral:lncRNA from 1 species